rnacentral:lncRNA from 1 species
UCAAUACUGUCCCUACUAACUUCCUGUGUUAGUUAGGUUUUCAUUGGUGUGACCAAAAUACCAGACCAGAACAACUUAGAAGAGGAAACAUUUAUUUUGAGUUAACAGUUUCAGAGGUUCAGUCCAUGGUCGGCCAGCUCCAUUGCUCUGGGCCCAAGAUGAAAUAGAACAUCAUAGCAGAAGCACACAGCAAAGGAAAGCUGCUGGCCUCAUUGUAGCUAGACAGGAAAAAGAAAGAGAGAGAGAGAAGGGGAGAUGGAGAGAGAGAGGAGCCAGAGGAACAAGAUAUAAUCACCAAUCGAACACCCACAGUGACCUACUUUGUCCAGCCAUGCCCCACCUGCCAACAUUUACUACCCAGUAAUCCAUUCAGCGUUAACCCAUCAAAUGAAUUAAUCUACUGAUUAGAUCACAGCUCUCACAAUCUAAUCAUUUUGCCUGUUAACAAGCAUACAUUGUCUCCUCUGCUUUUGGGGGACACCAUAUAAUCAAACCAUAAUACUUCCCUAAAAUGAAUACUUCAUUACUAGCCCCUAAGCCUGCUCUUUGCUCCUCAAUAUCCUAUACCAGAAAGAAUCUCUUUUUAUUUAAGGCUAGUUCAUGGUCACAUAAGAAUCUCAGAGUCUUUACAGUUCUCAUGGAUUUUUUUAGAACGUAUGGAUGGAAUCUGUCUCCAGUUGAAACCUGGAGAUUUCCUCUUGGAUUUCCCUCCCUUUUCUUGCCCUUUCCUGGGAACUGAGUUCCCAACCUCUCCCUGCCCUUUGAAUCAAAGACCAGAGGUGCACCACUGACAGAAAGUACUUGUAUUCUUCAAAGGAGAGCAUUUGUUGCUGUCAAUCACCUAUUGUAAAAUAACUCUGAUGAGUAUUAUUAAUUUUUAUGUUGAUCCUAUUUUAUUUAAUAUUAUUAUUAUUAAUAAUAAUUAAUGAUAUCAUCCUCUAUAUAGAAGGUGAGUAAAUAAAUUACAGUCUGCUCUUUAAUCCCUUUUUUCCUCAUCUGACUCAAAUUUAUGUUGAUUAAAGGUUAGAAUAAAAGUAUGCUUAAUUGGGCUGGGGUUGUGGCUCAGUGAUAGAGUGCCUGCCUAGCACAUGUGAGGUACAUUUAGUGGUUUAGUGGCUUAGUGGUUUGGAAAGCGC